AGUUAAUCACAUUAAGUCUGUUAAACCACAAUUCAAUUGCCAAAAUAAUCACAAAUAUUCUCACUUAAUUACACAUUAGCAAAAGGAGAAUUAAAAAGAGGGAUUAGGGUUUUACAUGGCAAUUGGAAUCCUUCUCAGACUCUCCUCUCAUCGGACACGACGGCGGCACAGCGGAGAUGAUCAUCUUCUCCGACCGAACCUCGCUCACGUCUCUCAUCUCUCCAUCUCAAUAACUCCGAUCACUCUUAUCACCGGCGAAGUGUGACGUACGGACUUGUCCUCCUUCUCCUUCGUGAACUCGCGGCGGCGAUUCCUCUGAUUCAAACUCAGCUCAACCAGAAACAAAUCCGGUUCUUCUUCAAUCUUGAUUCAACGACGAGAAAUCCAGAGAUAAAGUGGUACAUGAACGAGUUUUCGUUACCGAUCUGCUCCUUCCCUUUCAGACGGAUUCUGCGUGAUGAUGAUGCGAUGAUGACGAAGAUCGAGUCGAAUGGUGAUGAAACAUCGAGAACUCGGUAAGAGGUCCUUUCUUCUCCUGGUUUCUUUCCGAGUUGUUGCGCUGUUAUCGUAUCAUGUUGAUGCAGAUGAAGAAGAAUUGAAGUCGUUGCUUGAAGGUUGCAGGUUGAUUGAAGCGAUGGAGAAGAAUUGCAAGGAAGCUGAGUUCGGUUUGUUGCAGGUUAUCGAAGGAAUUGAUGGAUUGGAGGUUGUUUCGGUGAUGAUGUUGAUGAAGAUUGAAGAUUGAAGAUUGUUGUGAGUUAAUUUCACCAUUUCUGUUGGAGGUGAAUCGAGAAAGAACGAUGAAGGUUGAAGGUUUUUGUGGUGAUGAUCAAUGAAUGGAAGAGGAUUUCGGUUAGAGAAUGAAGAUGAUGAAGAUGAUAGAAAGAGAUUGGUUAUGGCUGAGAAUGGAAGAUGUGAGAUUAUGGAUUCAAGUUCUUGUAUGGUGAAUCGGUGGUGAGAUUGAAGAAUUGAUGAAUGAAGAGUCUGAAGAUUAAUGGUUGAAGAUGGAUCGUGAAGAGCUUGAAGUUUGUUACGUUUCUCUUUCGGUCCUUCAUUUUUUCGUUCUCCGUUUUCUGUUAUGGUUUGUUACUGAUUUUUUUCCUUAUGCCCCCCUCCUGAGCUUGAGCUUUUGUGUUGUUUUUUGAUUCGGUUCUCCUCAAGCUUCUUGGACCGGUUCUGGAUUUUGAAGUGCAGUACCGUUUAGGUGUUGCUGCAAGUUUCAUUUUGGUUGAACCGAAACCGGUUCGGUUGAUUAUGUGAUGCAGCUCUUGUAGAAUGAGAAUGGCGAUUGUGUAUGGUGCAAGCUGUAGCAGGCAUUUGGGCCUUAGAAGAAUAGGCCCCCCUCUUUGUUGUAAUUUCUUUGUAAUUUUGCUUUUGUAAUGGACCUCUUGGAUUUGAACUUGUAAUUGCCUUUGAAUGAAUGUUUGAAUGUAAUCUUGUAAAUUUCUCUUGUGAAAAACCUUGAAUUUAUCUCUUGA